UUGGAGCUAAAUUUUGACCUUCUGGUAAGGUAGACGACAUAUCCACUUGAGGAAAGAUACAGUCCCUCUCUGAACAUCUGCCAGAAGACAAUCCUCUCUUUGAAAGAAUCUUCCAUUUGAAGGCCUGCACAUUCCAAGACUAACAUAAGGAGAAAGAAUUACAAAAAUGGGAGUGAAGGACCCUGAAGUGGCCCAGCCAUCUUGAGCACCUGGAUGGAAGACUCAGCAGACACAGACAUCACCCCCUCAUGAAGUGAUCUGACCAUGACAAGAGGAGUGAAGGUUACUCAGUCACCCUCAGAUCUUCCUCAGCCAGUCAAGAAUACCAAGUCUCCAUGUGCAGGUGUCAGUUACCCGUUGGGACAGCCCCAUAGAUGUCAUGGUAUCCUGGAGUACCUCUGCAUGUAUGUUGAAGUCCCUGAUGAGUACAAGUCUGGUGGACCGCAACAACAUAGUGGCGACAAUGUUUUUGGCGGCGGAGGCAGCAGGACAAGGUCUUAUUGAAGAGAAAUGUCCUCCUCCAAGACAAUGGGAACUGAGUUUGUUUGGACUUGAAUUCUGGCACACAACAUGGUAUUCCAGCACCAAAUGACAAAAAGUGAUAGGGAACCAACGCUCCACCCAAAGGAGUAUUGUGUCACUCUUUAUUCCUUUCCAAAGCAAAUGCCUCUUGUGAGGCAUUUCUCAAAAGUGCUAUUGUUGAAGCUGUUGCUUUCCUCAUGAUUAAACAA